UAAAACUCCGGGACAUAUCAUAUUUGAUUAUAAGUGGUAAUAAAAAAUUAACAAUCUUAUAUAGCUCAUAGCUUUACUCUUACAAUUAGUGCCAUAAUCGUUGUGAAAUUUAAAAAAUGAGUCUGUUCUGCUGUAUGCAAAUGAUAGUUAUAGCUUAUUAGCUUUCAGCUUGCUAAAUAGUGUCUGGUAGCCUUAACUUGAUGGCAUUUAGCCUUAGCUCUUCUUUAGGCUUUUACUGCAUUAGGAAAUUUCCUGAUUAUGUCUAGUAUGCAGUAGAAGAUUCUCAACUAGCAAAUUAAUUUUUUCAAUCUCAUAUUUUAGUUUUAUGGUUAAAUGAAUGGUUUAAUUUAUUAUGUGGGUGCUGUAUAUGACACCGCUUUCCUUUAUUGUCAUUUUUGUCUUCUUACAAGCUUUGCAAUAUUCAACUAUUUCAUAGGCAAAGUUGUGAAGAUUCUCAUAAGCUAAAUGCCUCCAUAAGUAAUAGCUCGUCGAUGUUCUUGGUUAGUGAUAGAUUUUCUGUCUUUUCUCAAAAAAAAUUCCUUUUUCAUGGAGGUUUUUUGCUUAUUUCACGUGAUAAGAACUGUAUGCUUUCAACUAUCCAAGGUUUGGUUGGUCAUGUGAUACUGUAAAGUAAACAAAUGAAGAUUUAAAUGUUUUCUGUUUACACUUUUUAAUUACUUACCUUAUGUUUAAUGUAAAUGAUCAUUUCGAUGAUACUGAGGUGGUUAUAAGGGAAUUAUCAGGAAAAAAGAUUCUCAUGAGCUUCAAAAUUGACUUAUACCAUUCUCUAAAAGAGCUUAAAAUAAAUAAGCUUGACUUGCGAAGCUUUACUUCUAUAUCUACUAUAGUUGGGCCAUGUGCUACUAGGAAGAAUUCUUAAAAAAGUGACUUUUUUAAAUGAAAAAAAAAAAAAGACUUGCUAGGAUUUGUUCACUUAAAAGAACACUAAGAAGAAUCAAUCUUGUAAGUAUUCAUGUCGAUUUCGAGAGCUUUAAUGUGUAUUUUUAGCUUCGACUAGUAGAUGGAGUUUUAAGAAAUCACAAUAAAUGGGUCAGAAGGAACAAAUUCAGAUACAUCUGCUUUCAACAUCAAUACUGGCAUAUACUAGCAGUAAAAGGUGGAAAGAGGAGAUCUCUAAUUCCCAUUUCUGGUUGGAGUCUGAAUGUGAAGAUCACUUAUAUAGUGAGAGUGGAGUUCACGGAUUUGUAAGUCUGAAGAAGCUAUUCUUGAAGAAAGUGCAACACAAGUUAAGCACAGGAGGA